UCUUGAUUUCUACAGUGCAUGCUUUUUUUCAAAAUUUUAAGUCUAGAACAACAGCUUCAUGAAUGUUCUAUCUUUGGAUCACUCUCAGCACGUAGCACAAUGAGUUGAACGUCAACCCCAUCCAAUGAAUACCUGUUGAAUGGUUAUGUAUAUGCUGACCCCAGGAGGAAAUUUCCGAAUUAAGAAGCAUUUGUCACUUACCUAUGAGUAGGUCUUAAGUGUUUCUUUUAGAGGCUCCUCCCAGAAUCAUAUACCUCCCCCACCACCUAAGAAAGCAGGCCUGGUAAUCACACAAAUCAGCCCCGUGGUUCCAUCGGUCAGCCCCACUCCAAGCUAGAGCCACGGCCAGGCUGAUUCGCUCUGAUGUCAGAGAUCUGCAAUCAGACGGCAUCUUGUAGAAGAUUACUAAAUACCAGGAUUGGGUUCAGCUGGUCACAAUAAAGAGGCUCCUACUCAGCCAACACUAUUAAAACAGAGUCCAUCCUGAGAUCUUCAUGGAGCUAUAAUCAGGCCAAGCCCCUCGGGGACACCCCUGGAUCUGGGGACCUUCAUUCUGGCCCUUCACCUUGGUCAGACAUGGCCACACACCUCUCAUCUGCUUCUUUAUGUUGGGCCAUGGGCAGGCCCUUCCAUCCAGGCAAGUUCUCCCCAUGUCCAACUCGACUGCAGGACCAUUCAGCUGGGGAUCUUGCAACUAGCAGCCUUCUCCACCCCAGUGCCAGCUGCGGCCCAUCCCAGAAGGACCUUGCUUCCUGGGGCAGCUAUAGCACGAGGAAGCAAUCUAAAUGGCUGAUUUACAAAGAGGUGCAUGAGAGAGAAGCUUUCUAAGGAUGGAAUUUCUGGAUCCACAACAAGCCUCAAUGAUCACUGCUGCCCAACUACAGUUUCCACCUGAGCUCCAGCCCUCAGCCGACACCUGCCGUGGGGUUUCUCGUCUCCUCACAGCCGGGUGGGCAGGCAGCACCUCCUUUCCCUUCUCUUUUUCCAGCUCUGCUGAUGGAGGAAGACCAAAGUGGGGAGCCAGAACCUUGGAAGUCGGGUCACAGUCCUGUGUGCAGAGCCGCAGCUUGGCUGAGAGGCGUUCAAUGUUUGUGUCUUUUAGACAGCUGAGAGUUUUUUAAACAAAAAUUUGAACAGUAAUUUCCAUCCCUGAUAAAGAAUUAAAUUGUAUCAAAUGCGCAUUGUUUGCAUUCUUCUGAUAAAAAGAUCCAUAGGGGUUUUGCCCUGUGCUUUUGAAGUUGAGGCUAAUUCCAUUUCAUACGUAAUCUCCUCAAAGAGAGGAAGCCUCAGCCAAUGAAAUUGGGGGACUUCCCCUGCCUCCACUCCUGCCUGGAAAGCACGUGGACUCAGCAGCCCAUGGCAGUGAGUGUGCUUUGCACUUUUCCUGUAGUGAGGGAGGAGAAGCAGAGGCCUCCCACCCCAGACCUUUGACUAAUUCGUUAUCCAACAGAUGGGGAACACCCGCUCUGUGCCAGGCGGUAUGCUGGGCACAGGGGCUAGAAAAGAGAUGCUAUUAUGGUUCUAGGAAAGAAAAAUCAUACUCCUGUUCCAUCCACUGAGUUCAAAACCAAUAGAGAGAUACAUUCAAGAGUCUGACAGAUGGAGAUUAAAAUAUCAGCCUUGUUAUUGGUAAAAGCUGGAUUGGAGACAGGGCUUACAUACGCAGCCUCCUAUUGUUUCCCACACUCACCCAACCCAUUACUGCAGAGCUGAACGACCGCAGCCUCCCCCACAGGGCAAAGCAUGCCCAGGAAGCUCACUGCCAGGCUGAGAGCUGAUAACCCAGCUCCUCCACAGGAGUGACACCUGAAAAAGAAAGGAAGGACGGAGACC
ensembl:lncRNA